AAGAGAUCAAAGCUAAAAUUCUCGAGUUGGUUUGUGCGUAAAUCCCGUUUGGCGUGAGUCUGCAUGCGCGCAAACGGAGUGCGUUUUCCAGCUUAGGUGUGUUCUGGGUUGCGCGCUCGGAUCUGAAGGAAAAAGUCUAAAUGGGUCUCUUAUGAGUGAAAUCUUGAAGUUGAGUGAGUUAUGAAGGGGAAAGCGCGCGAAAUCGGCGCUGCUUUUGGAGUCUCCAUGGCUCAGUCCAAGAAACAACCACAGUGCUCCGCGUCUUCUGCUGCUUUCCAUCGAGCCCAGGCUCAGCGGAACGUUUUAAAGAUCAUUUUUCUGAGUAAACCUUGUGUUGGUUGCACUUGACGCGCGUGCAUUUGUUUGCAGUUACUGGCUUGUGAAAGCAGUGACCCGCGCGUGAUGUAACAAAUCGGUUGCAAUAUUUUCUAGAUAACGCGCAGAAACGGGCUAGUUUGUCCUACCUGCUCUCAGUCGCUCCUGGCGCCCGCGGGGUCCCUGCUGUCCGUUUGGUCGCGCAGCUGGACGUCUGAGGACAUGAUGCUGGACGCUCGCAUCUCUUCUCGUGGGUGAACGCGAAAUGAGGAGUGAAUACGAGGAGCGGGAGAGCAGGAGGAGGAGGAGGGAGGGGAGGAGACGCAGGAGGUCCCUUCACAUCAUAAACACACUUCGGUUUACAGGCGUCUAGGCUUCAUCAUUAUCGCGCAGUUGACAGUGUUUACGCGCAAAUGCGUUAUGAUGCGUCAGGCUCCGUCUUUUAUAGUCGGGAAAUGGGCUUUAACUGGAUCAGAUGCAUGUGACGUUCAGAUCCCCGGGGAGACGACACGCAAGCCUGCGGACAAUCCUCGCGGUCCAUCAAUGGGUCUCUGGGGUCUCUGGGAGUCUCUGACGUGCUCAAGUGCAGGUUAAUUCUUGGCUUUUAGUGUCAGUAAACAGUGUGCUGGAUUAGAGGACAGCCAUCGAUCUGACCGCUGCAUCAAUACACACACAUUCACUGAGAGACAGACACUCCCGCUAAAUUGCUUUGAAAUCCCCAUUCAGACAUUAUAACAUUAGCAGACCGCUGAAUGCCUCCAAAUGAACGAGUGUUUGUCAGGAAGAAUAGAGCUGUGUCUUAUACAUUUUAAAGGGGAAGCGUGUCAUUUAUGCACUUCUAAACAUCAAACUUGCACACUUCUGUUUAUACAUGCAUACACACAUAUGUAAUGUGUGUGUGUGUGUGUGUGUGUGUGUGUGUGUGUGUGUGUGUGUGCAUAUAAGGUUUUUGUAAGAUGUAGAUAAGUUUCUUUAUUGGUUUUGAUAAAAAGACAAUUUUUUUUAAUGUUUUCUAUUUUAAUAUAUUAUGAAACGUAAUUUAUUCCUGUGAUGCAAAACUGA
ensembl:lncRNA